rnacentral:lncRNA from 1 species
AAGCUUUAUGGUUACUUCUUAUAUAUUACUUUGACUUCUCGGCAAAUGACAUCCUUGAAGAUUAGAUGAAUGAAGUAUCCAGACCAAAGUAAUACACUUUUCAAUGGCUAGAGCCAUGAUUUGAACUUAAGGGAUGGUGAAUUCCAGUAUUAUAAGCUUUCUAGUAUAACAUCUUGUCUUUUACUUAAAUUUCAAUAUAAAAUUAAUCUUCCUUUUUAUAUUGCUCUAGGUGCAAUAUAGGUGGUGAUAACUGUGGUGGUGAUAACUGUGAAGGUAGAGAGCAUUCCUAUCUCUUCCUGAGACUCCAAAAAGAUGCUAGAGAGUGAUUCCAGCUUGCAAGGUGACUGUGGAACAGCUCUGAUGCAGCCUCAGGAAAUUACCCUUCUUGUGGGCUGCAACUACAUCCCCAACAAGAUCUGGCCCCGAUCCUGGUGAAGGUCUACUUUUCUCUGUUUGUCCUUCUAUGGGUGCUCUCCAUUACCCCAGGGAAAACCAAUCAUUAACAGCUUUCAUUUCAGAAAGCCAAGCAAUUUAUAUGGACUCACUCCCAUAAACACAAUUCUGAGUGUCAACCAAUUGAGAACAAUUUUGUUGGAGUAAUCACAUUUUGGCAGCGAAUGUCAACCUACUUAAACUUCUGAAAGGUCACCAAUCCCUGACUUUUAAGCUUCCAAAAAUUCUGGUAUAAAUCCAGCAGCUUGCUCUUUUUAGAGAGGCUAUACCUGACCAGCAUAUCUCUAUUCACUAUAGUAAGCAAUAAGCACAACAUGUUUUUUCUUUCAAAUAUUGAGUGGUGAUUUCUUCAUAAUUUGACAGUAUCAUUUAUCCCAUGGAAGAACAAGUAGUUAUAUAUCUUAUUCUGGAAUUCCUUUUGAGCAUUAGAGCAAUCUUCCCCAAAAACUGCGAACUUAAAAAAAAUAAUAAUAUUCUCUAUUCAACAGUAGGUGGAAAAUCAAACUCAGAAACAUUUUAGCAGAAUUUAUUUUGCUGGGUUUUUUUCCUCCUAAACUUAGCAUUGUUAUCUGGAUACAAUCAAGAUACUUUAUUUCACAGCCAACGUCAUGUAACAACUUUUUGUAACAUUACUCAGCUCGUAGCUUUUCUCUUUCGGAAAAAGUGUUUGGAAAGCAGAAUUAAAAACGAACUUGAGGGCCAGGCGCAGUGGCUCACGCCUGUAAUCCCAACAUUUUGGGAGUCUGAGGCGGGUGGAUCACGAGGUCAGGAGACCGAGACCAUCCUGGCUAAUACAGUGAGACCCCGUCUCUACUAAAAAUACAAAAAAUUAGCCAUGCAUGGUGGCACGUGCCAAGUCCCAGCUACCGGGGAGGCUGAGGCAGGAGAAUCGCUUGAACCUGGGAGGCAGAGGUUGCAGUGAGCCGAGAUUGUGCCACUGCACUCCAGCCUGAGCAACAGAGUGAGACUCCAUCUCAAAAAAUAAAAAAAUAAAAUAAAAAUUAAAAGUCAACAUUUAAAAGACUUGGAUUUUUCUUAGUUUUUUUUUUUUUUUUUUUUUUUUUGGCUUAAUAUAAGUCUUCCUCUCUCUCUCUCUUUUUCUUUCUUUUUUUUUGAGAGGCAGCCUUGGUCUGUCGCCCAGGCUGGAGUGCAGUGGCACCAUCUCGGCUCACUGCAACCUCUGCCUUCUGGGUUUCAGAGAUUCUAGGGCCUCAACCUCCCAAGUAGCUGGGAUUACAAGUGUGCGCCACCAUGCCCAACUAAUUUUUGUAUUUUUAGUAGAGAUGGGUUUCACCAUGUUGGCCAGCCUGGUCUCAAACUCCCAACUUCAAGAGAUCUGCCGGCCUUGGCCUCCGAAAGUGCUAGGAUUACAAGCGUAAGCCACCAGGCCCAGCCUACAUUUUCUUUUAUCUGUGUGUAAAUAUGUUGAUGGUAUAGUGUGCAUAAGGGAAAAUAAGCUUAUUAAAAACUCAAGCUUCAGGGAUAACUGGCUAGGCCUUACUUUUAAAGAAAUAGUUGCACCUUUAACAUUUUCUGCUAUGAUAGAAAAAUAUUAUCCAAUUAAAAUGUAAGCAACCUAAACAUCAUUGAUUACUCUAAAAGAAUUAUAGAAUAGUAAUAUCUUGCCAAUAUCGAUAUUUGUGGUGCUACUCUGUUCUCAUUGCAUUAGCUAUUAGACAAUGUCUUAUAGAGUUCAUGGCCAUUUUCUGCUUAUGAAUGAGAAUAAAUACUUGUGAAAACAUAACGUGUAAGACAUCAGGUAUACAUAUAUUAAAAUAUGUCAGUUGGCGAAAAGUAAUAAUUGUCUUACCAAGGAAAAUUGCCUUUAGAUUUGACUGUGUUCAGCUCUGGUACAAAACAUAACAAACAUUAUGUUUCUACCUUAAUUAAAAAGUAAAUGUGGUUAUUUUAAAAACUGUUUAAAAUUAAAGCCUAUUUUAUAAGAUGUUAUAUGAGACACUGCAUUAUUCCUUAUCAAAUUUAUAAGGCUGUAU